rnacentral:tRNA from 1 species
ACUUACAUAAUAUAAAAAUUAUAUUUGACUUCCAAUCAAAAAAUCUAUUCUAAUAGUGUAAGUA